rnacentral:rRNA from 1 species
AUGGUUCUUCCGGUGAUGCUGAGCUCGGGCGUCACAGCACUGAACCACAUCUUCGUGUGCUGGCUGCUGGUCUACAAGCUUGGUCUAGGCAACAAGGGUGCUGCCUUGGCCAAUACAAUCUCCUACCUCACGAAUGUGUCCAUCUUGGCUCUCUAUAUCAGGCUCUCCCCGUCUUGUAAGAGCACAUGGACGGGGUUGUCGACGGAGGCAUUUCGCGACAUCCUCGGUUUCUUGAGGCUUGCCGUCCCAUCUGCGCUCAUGGUUUGCUGGGAGUGGUGGUCGUUUGAGCUCCUGGUACUUGUUUCCGGAUUUCUUCCAAAUCCUAAACUUGAGGCAUCAGUACUGUCAAUCAGUUUGAAUACUAUCUUGUUGGUAUUCAGGGUCCCAUAUGGGCUUAGUGCUGCUAUAAGCACCCGUGUGUCAAAUGAGCUAGGUGCUGGGCGACCAGAUGCAGCCCGUUUAGCGACCCAGGUGAUCAUGGUCCUGGGUGUUGCGUCAAGCAUAUCAGUUUCUCUUGCUAUCAUUUUGGUGCGCAAUCUAUGGGGGUAUGCAUACAGCAACGACAAGGAAGUGGUGGAGUACAUAUCAAAAAUUAUGCCAAUUAUUGCCGUGGCAUUGUUGUUUGAUGACAUGCAGUGUGUUCAUUCAGGUAUUGUUAGAGGCUGUGGCUUUCAAAAGAUUGGUUCCUAUGUCAAUCUCAGUGCGUACUACCUCGUGGGCAUCCCAGCGGCUCUAUGUUUUGCCUUUGUGUACCAUCUUGGUGGAGUGGGGCUGUGGAUGGGAAUAACCUGCGCACUUGUCGUGCAGACGGUGUUAUUCAUGUCCAUUACUCUGCGCGCCAACUGGGACAAAGAAGCUUUGAAGGCCAGGGAUAGGGUUUCUAUUACCUCCUUUCCUCUGGACUUGGCGACAUGA